rnacentral:rRNA from 1 species
AUGACCGGCACAAAAACCGUUACCAAGUCGCCGCCGGAGCUCAUCGUUCCGGCGUUGACAACCCCCGGCGGCACCCUCCCGCUCUCCUCCAUUGACAAGGCAGCCGGCAGCGCCGGCUUGGUUAACCUCAUCCAGGUCUUUGCCCCGCCCUCGUUCACCGCCGCUCGUAUGAGCCAGGGCGCCGCCGCGGCCAUGGCAGCGAUGCGCGACGGGCUCGCGAGGGCUCUCGUGCCGUACUACCCGGUGGCCGGCCGCGUCGCCCCGAGCGGCCUUGCGGUGGACUGUACUGGCGAGGGCGUCUGGUUCGUGGAGGCCGCCGCGAGCUGCGCGCUUGCCGACGUGGACGGCCUCGGUUGCUGCCCGCUGCUCAUCCCCGGGGAGCUCCUCCUCCCGCGCCCUCCCCCCGGCGAGAAGCUCGACGGCCUCAUCCUCAUGGUCCAGGCGACUAGGUUCACCUGCGGUGGUUUCGCCGUCGGGAUCAGCUUCAGCCACGCGGUGUUCGACGGCCAGGGCGCGGCGCAGUUCCUCACGGCGGUGGGGGAGCUAGCGCGGGGGCUCCAGGCGCCGUCAGUGACUCCGGUGUGGGACCGCGACGCGAUCCUGGACCCUCCCAGCCCGCCGCCGCCUCAGCUCACGGAGUUCAGGCUCGUGACCCAGGUGGCCGACAUCUCGGCGGAGAGCAUCGCGCGCGUGAAGGACGACUUCAAGCAGGCUGCCGCAACAUCAACGGGGGAGGUGUGCUCCACCUUUGACGCGCUGACGGCCGUGGUGUUCAAGUGCCGCGCGCUGGCGCUGGCGUCGGCGCUCCCUGACGACGCCGAUGUCCGGAUCGCCUUCGCCGCCGGCACGCGGCACCUGCUCCGCGGCGUGCUGCCAGCGGUGGACGGCUACUACGGCAACUGCGUGUACCUGGCGUGCGUCACUAGGGCAGGCAAGGCCGUCCGGGAGGCGUCGCUGGCGGAGGUCGUCGGCGCGGUACGGGAGGCGAAGGAGGCGGUCCCCGCGCGGUUCGCCGGCUGGAUGCGCGGCGUCGAUCACUACGACGUGCCGCUGGACUACAGCACGGUGACGGUGUCAGACUGGAGCCGCGUCGGCUUCGACGAGGUGGACUACGGCUUCGGCGCGCCAGCGUACGUGUUCCCGCUCAACGACCACGUCAACUUCGUCGCGUCUCUCAACUACGUCAGGCCGCCGGCGCCCAGGCGUGGGGGCAUCCGGGUGGUGCUCCGCUGCGUCGAGGAGCCUCACGCCGCUGCCUUCGCUGUCGAGCUCGCCAAGUUCGCCUAA